rnacentral:rRNA from 1 species
GAUGAACGCUAGCGGCAGGCUUAAUACAUGCAAGUCGAGGGGCAGCAGGUCUGUAGCAAUACAGAUGCUGGCGACCGGCAAACGGGUGCGGAACACGUACAGAACCUUCCUUUAAGCGGGGAAUAGCCCAGAGAAAUUUGGAUUAAUACCCCAUAGUAUAUUGAAGAGGCAUCUCUUUAACAUUAAAGAUUUAUCACUUGAAGAUGGCUGUGCGGCUGAUUAGGUAGUUGGCGGGGUAACGGCCCACCAAGCCUGCGAUCAGUAACUGGUGUGAGGGCACGACCAGUCACACGGGCACUGA